GUGCUUGUUUCAGCAGUUCCUAUACUCUAAUUGUAACAAUACAGAGAAAUUUAGCAUAAUGCCUCUGCAAGGAUGACACAACCCUGUGAAGUGUUCUAUACUUUG